UGCCAUCUCCUCAUUGGUUAUACCCACAGGGUAUAUUUGUCAUUGCCACAAAUACAAACUGUUUUGCCGGUUGUCGUGAUAAUACUAUGAAAGUGAAGAUGCUAAUCACCAUAUAAGUUCAAAGAUGAAAAGGCCUGGAAGGAGGAGAGAUGACUAGAAAUGAUUGGGUUGAGCGUUUUGUGUGGAUUAAUGUUUAUGUCCCAGGACAAAUAAGCUAGCAACAGCAAGCUAGCUAAAUAGGACAAAUUAGCUAGCAAGUGCAAGCUAACUACCUAAAUUGCCAUACAUGUUAAAUGCUUUUCGACCUGUCUCCAGCUAUUUUAACCUGCAUGUCGUGAUCGCGUUUGGUGUAGGGAACAAAAUAAAUGUAUGCACGAUAGCGCACGCGCGCAGCCGGUGUGGGUUCCGUGUUAAGGAACAUGGCAGAAGGACACAAUGCAACCAACGUUAUACAGACAGAGUGGGAGGAGAGAGAGGCAUUCCAUCACCAGCAUAACUGUAGUUUUUGUAUCUAAAAAAAACAGAAGUUCUACUCGUAAUCCUAUCUAAUUCGUUAGCGAGUUUGCUCAAUUUACAUAUAGCAUGUUAUUUGGCUCACUGUUGGACGGUAGCUACUUUGACGCUUUGGGCGAGGGAUGCAGACCGAUUCUCCUCGGACGCGGUGGUAGAAGCGUUGCUUUUGUACCCAUUUCCUCCAGCAUCUUCACAAGGUCCUUGCUUCGAACGGCCAAUGGCGUGAGACGUGGGUCUUGAUAGAUUGGGAGCGUCACCGAAAUAAUAUUUAUGUUCGUGCGGUUCCGGGGGGUUACAAACUGAUUACGCUUCGAACAUACCGACUGGGUCAUUGCCACAGUGCUGCAUAACAUUUUGCGCAGCUAGGCAACUAUACCGAGGCAGGUAUAUUUUGCCAGACGGUCGAAUGCGGUUGGGAGAGAAUCAUUUUCGCAGUAUCCUCAAAACCGUCUUUUUGACACAACUGCUGAAAGCUACAGGGACAUAAACACAAAAAAUGCUGCGUGUCCACGAUAGUAGGAUUGCCAGAAGAAGACUGUGGGAGGAAGUGGAGAGGACUCUGGGACAGGUAUCAGAGGGAGAAGGGCAGAGAAAGAGAACAGGUCUGAGUCAGCAGCACCUCCUGAGAUUAUUAUGACCCUCCCGGGAGUGACCACUGAAGGCCUUGAACAGGAUGUGGCCGUGGAGACAAAUGAGGAGAGAAACAUGGAGAAAUGAAGAGGAACAACGUCACACCAGCCCCCAGAUCCACUCAACUCAUUUCAGCAGAGGCUCCUCAAAGCCAUCGAGAGGGAUGCAGCCCAACCUGAUCCUCACAUUAAGGAGGAUGAAGAGACCCUCUUUGCCAUGAGCCUGUUGCCAACCCUGAAGUGGCAGCCUCAGCAAAGAAAAGCAGCAAUCAAGGUUAAAAUUCAUUAGCUGCGUUUUGAUGCAGAGUUCAAUGAGAUAGUCAAUUUAGCCAACCAGCUCACAGGAAGGACAGUAAGAGGAGAUUUAUCUGGUUGAUGUUUUGACCUUCUCCUCCAAUGGGUUUUGAGCGGGAGGUGAGGAGAGAGGGCAUGAGGAAAUGCAACUGAGACAUUCCAACUGUCCUUAUUCCGCUUACUAUCUCCUUGUUAGUAGGCUUUUUUAGUAUGGAAUUCAUAAAGUAAAUAGUUUCUCAAUACUUAGGAUAGCAUUCAUUAUUAGUUGUACAUAGAUUGCAUGAAACCUGACACUGGAAAAUUCCGAUUCUCUUGUUCUUUUACAAGACUAAAGGUGAAAUGCGUGUUUACCUGUAUUGUGGCUACACAUUCACGUUUCAUUUUUUCAGACACACACCACUCCUCUCUGUCCCUCAGAUCUCCAGUGCCCUGCCCUUUCUCUCUUUAUGGCCAUGUCUGAAGUUCCUUACUACGUCUAGGCUUUGAGUAGUCCCUGUAUCUGUCUGCAGCUGUGCCAAAAAUACCUGCUCUUUUUGUUCUCUUACAGGCUACACAUUAAUUGUUGUAUUUUUACAUGCACACCCACACACAACUCUUUCAAUAGUUUUUAUUUUUUGUAACAUUUUUACAACACAUACCUGUCAUGUUCUUUCCUGUACUUGAAUACUUAUUAAAUUCGAAUGUUUUCAUA